GGAAAACGUUCUAAACGUCCUGGGGAUGGGACAGGGAGAAGCGCAAGAAUAGAGGGAAGCAUAACAUCCGGUUCUUCCACAUCGUCGUCAGCACUUGGUCAUGCCACGUCGUGUGUGGGCAUUGCUAUUCUAAUAGAUAUAAAGUGGUGUCUCCUGUGGGUUCAGCCUGCAUUUUCCUGAUGACCAGUCAUGAAACCACUUCAUCUUUGCUCGUCAGUUGUUCCCAGCUGUGCCCACGAUGGCUAAAAGAGUGAGGUCGUGGAAGCGGAGUCCCCGGCAGCCCGCAGUUCUGCCACCUGCUGCGGGGUGGGGCCUGCACGUCGUCCCUGCAGCCCCUGAGUGCUCUGACAGCUGAGAGCCCAGAGUCCUCCCCUGGCUGCUCACAAGGCGAAGAGAAGAGACCCGACGGAGGGAGAUGAGUUGGAAGGAAACCAAGAGACAGAGCAGCCCUCGACUCCAGUGACAGCGGGAAAAACGAUCGUCUUCAGAGGGCGGUGUCCAGAUAAAACGUCCCAAUUCAGGAUCAGUGAGGGCUGGUCACCUGGCUGGCAGGAUAUCCACAUGCAAUGUUGUGCAACCAGCACCUGGACCAUCCCGUGUAACUCAAAGGACCGGGUCAGUGUUCUUUCAUCUCUUAUGACAUCUGUGCUUCCAAACUUACUGGUUACAAAUACAACUAGGUUUUCUAUGUUUAAAUUCUUAUUAAAAUUUCCA